CUUUCGAUAGUUCAGUUGGUAGAGCGGAGGACUGUAGAUCCUUAGGUCGCUGGUUCGAGUCCGGCUCGAAGGA
rnacentral:tRNA from 3 species